GUUUGAUCAUGGCUCAGAUUGAACGCUGGCGGAAUGCUUUACACAUGCAAGUCGAACGGUAGAGGGGGCAACCCCUUGAGAGUGGCGAACGGGUGAGUAAUAUAUCGGAACGUGCCCAGUCGUGGGGGAUAACGUAGCGAAAGUUACGCUAAUACCGCAUACGAUCUAAGGAUGAAAGCGGGGGAUCGCAAGACCUCGCGCGACUGGAGCGGCCGAUAUCAGAUUAGGUAGUUGGUAGGGUAAAGGCCUACCAAGCCAACGAUCUGUAGCUGGUCUGAGAGGACGACCAGCCACACUGGAACUGAGACACGGUCCAGACUCCUACGGGAGGCAGCAGUGGGGAAUUUUGGACAAUGGGCGAAAGCCUGAUCCAGCCAUUCCGCGUGCAGGAUGAAGGCCCUCGGGUUGUAAACUGCUUUUGUACAGAACGAAAAGGUUUCUAUUAAUACUAGGAGCUCAUGACGGUACUGUAAGAAUAAGCACCGGCUAACUACGUGCCAGCAGCCGCGGUAAUACGUAGGGUGCAAGCGUUAAUCGGAAUUACUGGGCGUAAAGCGUGCGCAGGCGGUUAUAUAAGUCAGAUGUGAAAUCCCCGGGCUCAACCUGGGAACUGCAUUUGAGACUGUAUAGCUAGAGUACGGUAGAGGGGGAUGGAAUUCCGCGUGUAGCAGUGAAAUGCGUAGAUAUGCGGAGGAACACCGAUGGCGAAGGCAUCCCCUGGACCUGUACUGACGCUCAUGCACGAAAGCGUGGGGAGCAAACAGGAUUAGAUACCCUGGUAGUCCACGCCCUAAACGAUGUCAACUGGUUUGUUGGGUCUUAACUGACUCAGUAACGAAGCUAACGCGUGAAGUUUGACCGCCUGGGGAGUACGGCC
rnacentral:rRNA from 1 species